rnacentral:rRNA from 1 species
GACGUAGGGGGCCAGCGUUGUUCGGAAUUACUGGCGUAAAGGGCUCGUAGGUGGCCAACUAAGUCAUACGUGAAAUCCCUCGGCUUAACCGGGGAACUGCGUCUGAUACUGGAUGGCUUGAGGUGGGAGAGGGAUGCGGAAUUCCAGGUGUAGCGGUGAAAUGCGUAGAUAUCUGGAGGAACACCGGUGGCGAAGGCGGCAUCCUGGACCAAUUCUGACACUGAGGAGCGAAAGCCCAGGGGAGCAA